GUGGGUAGUUUGACUGGGGCGGUCUCCUCCCAAAGAGUAACGGAGGAGCACGAAGGUUAGCUAAUCCUGGUCGGACAUCAGGAGGUUAGUGCAAUGGCAUAAGCUAGCUUGACUGCGAGCGUGACGGCGCGAGCAGGUGCGAAAGCAGGUCAUAGUGAUCCGGUGGUUCUGAAUGGAAGGGCCAUCGCUCAACGGAUAAAAGGUACUCCGGGGAUAACAGGCUGAUACCGCCCAAGAGUUCAUAUCGACGGCGGUGUUUGGCACCUCGAUGUCGGCUCAUCACAUCCUGGGGCUGAAGUAGGUCCCAAGGGUAUGGCUGUUCGCCAUUUAAAGUGGUACGCGAGCUGGGUUUAGAACGUCGUGAGACAGUUCGGUCCCUAUCUGCCGUGGGCGCUGGAGAAUUGAGGGGGGCUGCUCCUAGUACGAGAGGACCGGAGUGGACGCAUCACUGGUGUUCGGGUUGUCAUGCCAAUGGCAUUGCCCGGUAGCUAAAUGCGGAAGAGAUAAGUGCUGAAAGCAUCUAAGCACGAAACUUGCC
rnacentral:rRNA from 1 species